rnacentral:rRNA from 1 species
AUGCCAAACCUCAAAGCUGCAGCAAUCACUGCGCAUGUUGAUCGUUGGAGGACGGAGACACACAGUUUCCAUCUUCGGGCCGGGGAGAUGACUGUGACGCUCCCGGAUAUUGCUAUGAUCAUCGGUCUUCCUGUCGAGGGGAAUCCUCUUUGUAUGAGCACUGAUUUUGAUGGGCGGCGCCAGCACAUGGAGGCCCUUAUCGGUAUGUCUCCUCGAGAGACUCCGGUGCCAGAAGGAGACAAGAAGAGGGAAAGAGUCGUAGUUGGUGCUCCUUUCACCUGGAUUGCAUUCCACUUCGGGAAUUUCCCUGAGGAUGCUAGCAAUGAACAGGUCCAGACAUAUGCUCAUGUCUACAUGUGGUACAUUAUCUCUAAGACUCUGUUUGCCGACAGCACAGGCAAGAAUGCUCCAUGGAUGUGA